rnacentral:rRNA from 1 species
AGCAGCCGCGGUAAUUCCAGCUCCAAUAGCGUAUAUUAAAGUUGUUGCAGUUAAAAAGCUCGUAGUUGAAUUUCGGGGUCAGUAGGUUGGUCGUGCCACCGGUACGUACUGGUCUCACUGAUUCCUCCUUCCUGAUGAGCUGUAAUGCCAUUAAUUUGGUGUUGCAGGGAAUCUGGACUGUUACUUUGAAAAAAUUAGAGUGUUUAAAGCAGGCUAACGCUUGAAUACAUUAGCAUGGAAUAAUGAAAUAGGACGUUCGAUCCUAUUUUGUUGGUUUCUAGGAUUGACGUAAUGAUUAAUAGGGAUAGUUGGGGGCAUUAGUAUUCAAUUGUCAGAGGUGAAAUUCUUGGAUUUAUUGAAGACUAACUACUGCGAAAGCAUUUGCCAAGGAUGUUUUCAUUAAUCAAGAACGAAAGUUAGGGGAUCGAAGACGAUCAGAUACCGUCGUAGUCUUAACCAUAAACUAUGCCGACUAGGGAUCGGAUGA